rnacentral:rRNA from 1 species
AUGGCCCUUCGCAGGGAGCUCGCCAACAUUAAGAAGCUGGACUCCUCCGCCACGACCUACUUCAACAAGAUGAAGGUGCUGGCGGGCACACUCACCUCUAUCGGUCGGCCGCUCAGCGACGAGGAGUUUGCUGGCUUUGUCAUCAAAGGCCUCGACGCCGACUACGACAAUCUCGCCGAGGCUGUUCACAACGCCAAGCUAGCGAUGCCCCCGCAUGAGCUCUACUCACGACUUCUCUUCACCGAGUAG